CUCAAGGCCGUGCUCCAAGCAGGAAGAAGCAAAAGUUUUCCUUCUGGUGAGACUGGUUUCUUCCUUUGGGAAGGGAAGCUAUCCUUGGGUGCUUCUGGCUGCAUCUCAUUAUGUAGAACUUUCUCAUGCGGGGAAAAGGAGAUAUAGGAAAUUUCUGGGUAAGUCAAAUUGUUCUGGAAAAAGUAAGAAUUCUACCAAAAAGAAGAGUGGAUGAACACCUGAGAUUAUACACUACAACCAGAAGGAAAAAUGGCCCACUAUUGUGUGGCAAAGCAAUGGAUUGGCCAAGAAUCCCAAGAGGAGAGCUGCUUACCAGACUGGAUCCCCACCUCUGGAAGAUGAAGCCUCCGGAUAAUUCCACCACUUGUAUUUCAUUGGGUUAUUCCAUGAGUAUUUAGCUUAACUCUGUGUCGGGCCCUAUUUAAGGACCUGGGGAUAUAGCAAUGAACAAAACAGACAAAAAUGCCUGACAUCACACAUGUUACAGUUUCAGGGAUAAUGAGACACAAUAGACCAAA